CCUACGGGAGGCAGCAGUGAGGAAUAUUGGUCAAUGGCCGGAAGGCUGAGCCAGCCAAGCCGCGUGAAGGACGAAGGUGCCAAGCAUUGUAAACUUCUUUUGUCAAGGGACAAAAUCAGGGUCGAGAGCCUGACCGAGGGUACUUGAAGAAAAAGCAUCGGCUAACUCCGUGCCAGCAGCCGCGGUAAUACGGAGGAUGCGAGCGUUAUCCGGAUUUAUUGGGGUUAAAGGGUGCGUAGGCGGCCUGUUAAGUCAGCGGUAAAAGCCCGGGGCUCAACCCCGGCGAGCCGUUGAAACUGGCGGGCUUGAGAUGGCGAGAGGUAGGCGGAAUGCGCGGUGUAGCGGUGAAAUGCUUAGAUAUUGCGCAGAACCCCGAUUGCGAAGGCAGCAUACCGGCGGCGAUCUGACGCUGAGGCACGAAAGCGUGGGUAUCGAACAGGAUUAGAUACCCGUGUAGUC
rnacentral:rRNA from 1 species